GCUGGUUUCAAGUGGUGUUUUAGA
rnacentral:miRNA from 1 species